GACGAACGCUGGCGGCGUGCUUAACACAUGCAAGUCGAACGGAGUUACGUAUGAAGUAUUUCGGUACGGACUAUGUAACUUAGUGGCGAACGGGUGAGUAACACGUGGGCAACCUGCCCUUAACCGGGGGAUAACAUUGUGAAAACAGUGCUAAUACCGCAUAACAGAGUAUCGGGCAUCCGAUAUUUUUAAAAGGAGCAAUCCGGUUUAGGAUGGGCCCGCGUCCAAUUAGCUAGUUGGUGAGGUAACGGCUCACCAAGGCUACGAUUGGUAGCCGAACUGAGAGGUUGAUCGGCCACAUUGGGACUGAGACACGGCCCAGACUCCUACGGGAGGCAGCAGUGGGGAAUAUUGGGCAAUGGGCGAAAGCCUGACCCAGCGACGCCGCGUGAAGGAUGAAGGUCUUCGGAUUGUAAACUUCUUUGAUCAGGGAAGAAGAAAUGACGGUACCUGAAGAACAAGCCACGGCUAACUACGUG
rnacentral:rRNA from 1 species